rnacentral:rRNA from 1 species
UACGGGGGGGGCAAGCGUUGUUCGGAAUUACUGGGCGUAAAGGGCUCGUAGGCGGCCAACUAAGUCGGAUGUGAAAUCCCCAGGCUUAACCUGGGAACUGCCUUCGAUACUGGAGAUCUUGAGUCCGGGAGAGGUGAGUGGAACUGCGAGUGUAGAGGUGAAAUUCGUAGAUAUUCGCAAGAACACCAGUGGCGAAGGCGGCUCACUGGCCCGGUACUGACGCUGAGGUGCGAAAGCGUGGGGAGCAAACAGG